ACGAACGCUGGCGGCGUGCUUAACACAUGCAAGUCGAGCGGAAAGGCCCCUUCGGGGGUACUCGAGCGGCGAACGGGUGAGUAACACGUGAGCAACCUGCCCCUGACUCUGGGAUAAGCCCGGGAAACUGGGUCUAAUACCGGAUAUGACCACUCCGGGCAUCUGGUGGUGGUGGAAAGUUUUUCGGUUGGGGAUGGGCUCGCGGCCUAUCAGCUUGUUGGUGGGGUGAUGGCCUACCAAGGCGACGACGGGUAACCGGCCUGAGAGGGCGACCGGUCACACUGGGACUGAGACACGGCCCAGACUCCUACGGGAGGCAGCAGUGGGGAAUAUUGCGCAAUGGGCGGAAGCCUGACGCAGCGACGCCGCGUGGGGGAUGACGGCCUUCGGGUUGUAAACCUCUUUCAGCAGGGACGAAGCUAACGUGACGGUACCUGCAGAAGAAGCGCCGGCUAACUACGUGCCAGCAGCCGCGGUAAUACGUAGGGCGCAAGCGUUGUCCGGAAUUAUUGGGCGUAAAGAGCUCGUAGGCGGUUUGUUGCGUCCGUCGUGAAAGCCCACGGCUUAACCGUGGGUCUGCGGUGGAUACGGGCAGACUAGAGGCAGGUAGGGGAGAACGGAAUUCCCGGUGUAGCGGUGAAAUGCGCAGAUAUCGGGAGGAACACCGGUGGCGAAGGCGGUUCUCUGGGCCUGUACUGACGCUGAGGAGCGAAAGCGUGGGGAGCGAACAGGAUUAGAUACCCUGGUAGUCCACGCCGUAAACGUUGGGCGCUAGGUGUGGGGUCCUUCCACGGAUUCCG
rnacentral:rRNA from 1 species